AACGUAGGUGGCAAGCGUUAUCCGGAUUCACUGGGCGUAAAGGGCACGCAGGCGGCUCGGCAGGUAGGGCAUGAAAUCUCCCGGCUUAACUGGGAGGGGCUGUCCUAAACCGCUGGGCUUGAGGGCGGGAGAGGGAAGUGGAAUUGCCGGUGUAGUGGUGAAAUGCGUAGAGAUCGGCAGGAACACCAGUGGCGAAGGCGACUUCCUGGUCCGCCCCUGACGCUCAUGUGCGAAAGCUAGGGUAGCGAACGGG
rnacentral:rRNA from 1 species